CUGCGAAUGGCUCAUUAAAUCAGUUAUCGUUUAUUUGAUAGUACCUUACUACUUGGAUAACCGUGGUAAUUCUAGAGCUAAUACAUGCUGAAAACCCCAACUUCGGGAGGGGUGUAUUUAUUAGAUAAAAAACCAACGCCCUUCGGGGCUUCUUGGUGAUUCAUGAUAACUUUACGGAUCGCAUGGCCUUGCGCUGGCGACGGUUCAUUCAAAUUUCUGCCCUAUCAACUUUCGAUGGUAAGGUAUUGGCUUACCAUGGUUUCAACGGGUAACGGGGAAUUAGGGUUCGAUUCCGGAGAGGGAGCCUGAGAAACGGCUACCACAUCCAAGGAAGGCAGCAGGCGCGCAAAUUACCCAAUCCCGACACGGGGAGGUAGUGACAAUAAAUACUGAUACAGGGCUCUUUUGGGUCUUGUAAUUGGAAUGAGUACAAUUUAAACCUCUUAACGAGGAACAAUUGGAGGGCAAGUCUGGUGCCAGCAGCCGCGGUAAUUCCAGCUCCAAUAGCGUAUAUUAAAGUUGUUGCAGUUAAAAAGCUCGUAGUUGAAACUUGGGUCUGGCUGGCGGGUCCGCCUCACCGCGUGUACUUGUCCGGCCGGGCCUUCCUUCUGGAGAACCUCAUGCCCUUUACUGGGCGUGUUGGGGACCAGGACUUUUACUUUGAAAAAAUUAGAGUGUUCAAAGCAGGCCUUUGCUCGAAUACGUUAGCAUGGAAUAAUAGAAUAGGACGUGCGGUCCUAUUUUGUUGGUUUCUAGGACCGCCGUAAUGAUUAAUAGGGACAGUCGGGGGCAUCAGUAUUCAAUUGUCAGAGGUGAAAUUCUUGGAUUUAUUGAAGACUAACUACUGCGAAAGCAUUUGCCAAGGAUGUUUUCAUUAAUCAGUGAACGAAAGUUAGGGGAUCGAAGACGAUCAGAUACCGUCGUAGUCUUAACCGUAAACUAUGCCGACUAGGGAUCGGGCGAUGUUCUUUUUCUGACUCGCUCGGCACCUUACGAGAAAUCAAAG
rnacentral:rRNA from 1 species